AGCAGGGAAUCUUGGGCAAUGGGCGAAAGCCUGACCCAGCGACGCCGCGUGGAGGAAGAAGUCCUUCGGGGCGUAAACUCCUGGACUGGGGGACGAGGAAGGACGGUACCCCAGUAGAAAGGGACGGCUAACUACGUGCCAGCAGCCGCGGUAAAACGUAGGUCCCGAGCGUUGUUCGGAUUCACUGGGUGUAAAGGGCGCGUAGGUGAUUGUCUGUGUCUCAUGUGAAAACUCAGGGCUCAACUCUGAGAUUGCGUGGGAAACUAGGCAGCUAGAGGACGGUAGAGGGGAGUGGAAUUCCCGGUGUAGCGGUAAAAUGCGUAGAUAUCGGGAGGAACACCGGUGGCGAAGGCGGCUCUCUGGGCCGAUCCUGACGCUGAGGCGCGAAAGCUAGGGGAGCGAACCGGAUUAGAUACCCGGGUAGUCCUAGCCGUAAACGAUGGGUGCUAGGUGUUGGGGGGUAAAGACCCUUCAGUGCCGAAGCCAACGCGAUAAGCAUCCCACCUGGGGAGUACGGCCGCAAGGUUGAAACUCAAAGGAAUUGGCGGGGGUCCGCACAAGCGGCGGAGCAUGUGGUUUAAUUCGAUGCUGCCCGAAGAACCUUACCAGGGUUUGACAUGCUGGUGGUAGGAACCUGAAAGGGGGACGACCCAACCGUAAGGGAGGGAGCCAGCACAGGUGUUGCAUGGCUGUCGUCAGCUCGUGCCGUGAGGUGUCGGCUUAAGUGCCGUAACGAGCGCAACCCUCAUCCCUAAUUGCUCCUGACAGGUAAAAGGGUCAGAGCACAAUAGGGAGACCGCUGGCGAAGAGCCAGAGGAAGGGGAGGAUGACGUCAAGUCAGCAUGGCCUUUAUGCCCUGGGCUACACACAUGCUACAAUGCAGGGUACAACGGGAAGCGAAGCCGCGAGGUGGAGCAAAUCCCCAAAAGCCCUGCUCAGUUCGGAUCGCACGCUGCAAUUCGCGUGCGUGAAGUCGGAGUCGCUAGUAACCGUGGAUCAGCAAAGCCGCGGUGAAUACGUUCUCGGGCCUUGCACACACCGCCCGUCAAGCCACCCGAGUCGGGUUCACCAGAAGGCCGGUAACCGAAGAGGGCCGGACGACGGUGUGCCUGGUAAGGAGGGCU
rnacentral:rRNA from 1 species